GGAUGCAUUGUUAAAUGCACCCUCAAUAUCAAGAAAAGCUGUGAGAUUUCUUUAACAUCAAAAGACUUCUCUAUUUUUGAAAUUAACGCGUGAAGCGCUGUUUCAGUUGUUUUAUUGCUUGGUAGGUAAAUUGAAAUUUGUUCAAUAUUCUCCUGUUCAAAUAUGAUGAUUUGAUAUGGAGAUCAAUGACCUUUUCCAUCAUUUUUAAGAUGACAGAUGUUAGACUUAUUGAUUUUUACGCUUUGGGAGUCGUCCUGUCACGUUCACCAGCCUUGGGGAUAAAUACUUCUCGCCAUUUACUAGGAAUGUAGCUUAGUACCAUACUAGCUCUAAACAUCUCCGUCAAAAGAGGGACAAUGAAUUCUUGCUUUUUUGUAACAGCACCGGAUAAAUCCCGUCUGGUCCUGAAGAUUCGAAGGGCUUCAAGGAAUCCAUUGCCCACUCAACCCUUGGCUUCGUAAAGACCGUCCUAGCCAUUUCAUUAGCUCUAUUCUCGUCUCUGAUUAGACAAGAUUGAGCUGUAUUGAAGACCUGUGCGUGUCCGGAAGUCAAUUGGAUUGAGCCUGAGAAACUACCAAGUCCGUUGGUGUGAUCCUUAGAAAGGGCUUUACGAAGUCUUGCUACAACAGCUGUUCAGUGGAAGAUACUGCUCAUACAGGAGGCGAUUGUACGAACGGUAUUCGUUGCUCGUCCGAUUCAGGUCUUGUUUCGCUAACGGACAGCGCAGCCAACAGAAACGCCGUAGAGCAGAAGAUCGCAACCUCUUGAGUUCUCCCAGUCGUUGCCCCAGACUGGUUUCUGUGCAGUUCUCCGCGCAGGUACGAAAUCAGCGAUGAUACGAGUCAUGGCAUCAUCAGUAAACAUCAGCAACGGCAGUAUCCAUAUCUUCAAUGAUCUCCAGAAAUUCUCAGUUGACUUGAGCUAUUGCUUGACGUAACGCAGCGAAAUCAGCUUUCUGGGGAACUACAUUGGGUUGAAAGUGCUAAGUUUUAUUUAUAAACAUGUUUGCCUAAUACUAGUGAAUGGAUUAAUCAGGAUUAAUCGCGGGCGAAUCAAUAUUGGAAGAAUAAUAUUUGUUGAGAAAAAAUCGUGAUCCUUACAGAAACGAGGCUUCCUUCAGAAAUUUCAAGUGUUGCACUGCCGAUGAAAGCGAUUGAAAAUAGUCUUUAUACUCGGACACACAAUCCGAAAACGAUACAUCCUAUUGAACCUUUAACUUCUUAUUAUUCAAAGCCCUUUGCGUUUCCUUAGGACUCUUAGAGAUGUAGAUUUUUACGCAAUCAAUGUUAUCUGCAAAAAUAAGCCGAAAUCAUAUACGAGACGCUUCCAAUUCAUUAUGAAGGCGAGACAAAACAUUUUUUUUUGUUAGAACGCCAGCCUGCUCACCGUUAAUUUUUAUUUACAGCAUAAUAUACAGAAAAACAAUUUUUUGACAACAUAUAAAUAAGCUUGA